CUUUAGAUACCCGGGUAGUCCACACCGUAAACGAUGUAUGCCAGACGUCAGCAAGCAUGCUUGUUGGUGUCACACCUAACGGAUUAAGCAUUCCGCCUGGGGAGUACGGUCGCAAGAUUAAAACUCAAAGGAAUUGACGGGGGCCCGCACAAGCGGUGGAGCAUGUGGUUUAAUUCGACGCAACGCGCAGAACCUUACCAACCCUUGACAUACUUGUCGCGGAUUCCAGAGAUGGAUUCCUUCAGUUCGGCUGGACAAUGUACAGGUGCUGCAUGGCCGCCGUCAG
rnacentral:rRNA from 1 species